rnacentral:rRNA from 1 species
AAUCCAUAGGUUAAUGAGGCGAACCGGGGGAACUGAAACAUCUAAGUACCCCGAGGAAAAGAAAUCAACCGAGAUUCCCCCAGUAGCGGCGAGCGAACGGGGAGGAGCCCAGAGCCUGAAUCAGCAUGUGUGUUAGUGGAAGCGUCUGGAAAGGCGCGCGAUACAGGGUGACAGCCCCGUACACAAAAGCGCAUGUGCUGUGAGCUCGAUGAGUAGGGCGGGACACGUGGUAUCCUGUCUGAAUAUGGGGGGACCAUCCUCCAAGGCUAAAUACUCCUGACUGACCGAUAGUGAACCAGUACCGUGAGGGAAAGGCGAAAAGAACCCCGGCGAGGGGAGUGAAAAAGAACCUGAAACCGUGUACGUACAAGCAGUGGGAGCACAGGUUUACCUGUGUGACUGCGUACCUUUUGUAUAAUGGGUCAGCGACUUAUAUUCUGUAGCAAGGUUAACCGCAUAGGGGAGCCGGAGGGAAACCGAGUCUUAAU